rnacentral:rRNA from 1 species
AUUGAACGCUGGCGGCAUGCCUUACACAUGCAAGUCGAACGGUAACGGGCCUUCGGGUGCCGACGAGUGGCGAACGGGUGAGUAAUGUAUCGGAACGUACCUUUCAGUGGGGGAUAACGUAGCGAAAGUUACGCUAAUACCGCAUAUUCUGUGAGCAGGAAAGCAGGGGAUCGCAAGACCUUGCGCUGAUUGAGCGGCCGAUAUCAGAUUAGCUAGUUGGUGAGGUAAAGGCUCACCAAGGCGACGAUCUGUAGCGGGUCUGAGAGGAUGAUCCGCCACACUGGAACUGGGACACGGUCCAGACUCCUACGGGAGGCAGCAGUGGGGAAUUUUGGACAAUGGGGGCAACCCUGAUCCAGCCAUGCCGCGUGAGUGUAGAAGGCCUUCGGGUUGUAAAGCUCUUUCGGCCGGGAAGAAAUCGUAUGGGUUAAUACCCUGUGCGGAUGACGGUACCGGCAUAAGAAGCACCGGCUAACUACGUGCCAGCCGCCGCUGUAAGAC